GAGCUUGUGUCUCCCUCCCAAUUGAAAAAGACAACGUGCAUGCAAGAGCAACUUGGAGAGACUUUGACAGCUCAGGUCAGCAUAAUACCUGCAGCUGCCGCUCGCCUUUCCUAUAUCU
rfam:Myotis brandtii contig184625, whole genome shotgun sequence.